rnacentral:lncRNA from 1 species
UCUAUCUCCAUCAACUAUUGAUUCAAAUGCAGAAACAACAAAAUUAAGGGCAGAACACUCUAUACAUGAAGAAGCCCAAACUAUAUCCAUCAAAACAUCUGCUGCAUCCACAUUAGUUUGGACAAACAAUACAAACCUUGAUGCUGUAAUUGGUUCUGAAAACAAAAUUACCAACAUAACUGUUACAACAUCAUCAUCAGACCAUUCAGCAUCUAACAGGGUUUCCUCGUCUUCAUCAAUAGACCCAUUAGUGAUGUCAUCAGUUGCUAACACAACUGAGACAACCACAUCUUUAAUUUCCACAUCUUUAAACAUGACAUUUACAAAAACUAAAGACACAGAAUUCACAAUAAAGCAUCAAUCAAAUCUUAGUACCCCACAACCUGUUUCCACCUCUAGAAUGGCUAUAGCUAAAUUUAAUAAUCCAAAUGAAGUGACUACUGAAUCCAGCAGCCCAGAAGUAACUGACUUCAGCAACUUACAUGUGGUUUACUCAACUUUGGACACAAUUGUGACUUCGUCAGAGGCAAUUCUAUCCACUUCUAAUGAUAAUCAAUUCACAGCUUACUCCAAAAGUCAGCCCAUGACCUUUUCCACGAGUAAAGCUACAACUUCUCAAUCAAUGACAACAGAAUUAAAUACAAUGCCUUCCUUAAAUACAGUGUCUUACACAAACAGUACUACACCAUCAACAGCUCAUACCUCAGUAAAGGAAAAUAUCAGUCUGUCAUCUGUACAACCUGUGACUAUUAACUCUACACACGUUACUCACAACUUUAGUGAUUCAUCCUUAACUGAUCAUCAUUUCACCUCCUCACAGAGCACUGUUGCACAACCGCCUGAUCUAAACCCUACAGGUGAUACUAAUAUGUCAACAUCUGCAAUUACUGAUAUUUUCAGUAGGCCAAAUAAUGGAAGCACAUUGACUCAAACAGAUUCAGGAUUCUCUGCAACUGUCCAUUCAAUAGAUUCAGUUCCUCUACACCUACCUCAAACAACCAAUGGUUUACAUAACCUUUCCAGUCCAUCGUUUCAGCUCCUGACAGUUAGUCCUACACCUCCCAUAGUGGAGGAAAAAUCCUCCCACACAACUAAAGCAAUGCUGACUCAGUUGACCACCAGUGCCUCUGUCUCAUCCAACUACCCAACUACUACAUCUGAAGAGUCCAAGAACAACACUGAAGCUUCUACAAUAGUGCCAUCAUCUCCACCAUCAUCCUCAUCAUCAAAUUCAACAGACACUUUCGAUAAACCCAUGAUUUCUGUGGAUAAUAUAAGUGUUUCCCAAAGAACAACAGAUAAAAAUGUAUCCACCCUGACCACAAUGAGCACUUCAGAAUCAGCCUUUCAUAAGACAAAUGCGACAAAUACGCCAUCUUUAACAUGCACAUAUUUAAAUGUGGCGUCAAUACAAACAAAUGAUACAGAACUCAAGACAACUACUACUCCAGAUCCAGAGACAGAAAUCCCAGACAUCCAGACAUCCUCAUUUAUUCCUGUUUCACAGCAGAUAAGCACAGACUCGUCCCCUGAAACAGCAAAUAGCUACAGUGCACCUCACGCCUAUAGUUCAGUCUCGCUAGUGGAUACUACGUCUUUUAUGCCACAGACAGAUUCUAUGGCUUCAGGUUUAGCUAAAUCUCAAAGUUCCACACUUUCACUUCAAAAAACAGGAGUUACACCUUCAGAUGCACUGGCAGAUUCGACCAGACCAUCAUCCACACAAGUUCAUACCACACCUUCACCUACACUGCAAACCAGCACCGGAGAAGUUACACAGGUUUCUCCACUAACAGAGGUUUCAACAUUGUCACAAGUACCACUGCAUACCAACCCCCAGACAGAUGUUUAUCUGUCUACACAAACUCUAUCUUUACCUACACACCUCAACACUCCACCUCACUCGGGAAAUCCUACAGAGGAUGAAGAGACUGUACCGACAACCAUAUCAUCUCAAACUGACAUUAAAAAAGAAAUUACCAAAGUGACUGUGGAAAUUCUAAACCCCACUACAAAAAGUGUCCAGCCGCUAUUAUCUAUGACAGCUUUAUCAGGAAUGACUGCUCCAGCAACCACAGAGUCAGAUUCAGGUUCAGCCCAAGCCGACAAAUCAGACGCAGUUCUCGCUGCUUCAACUGGAACAACAAAAAUACAAAAAACACCAGAAACUGCUCUCUCAAAAACAUCCUCCUCUCUAUACAGGUCUGAACCAGAAACACAGCCAAUUCCAGAUCCAGUCAGUUCAGGGGCUCAGGUAUUCGUUUCAGAGGAUGACAAAAUUCCAGUUUUCAGAGCCAUUCAUUUUGACCAUCCAGUUAUAGAGAGCGGCACCUUUUUAUCUGUGAAGUUUCAUAACUGGACAGCAAACUGAGUCAGGAUUAACAUUGAACUUUUUCGAAUAAUAUUAUUAUAAAUAGUUGCAAAACUAGCUGAACCCAGAAGGAAGUGUUGGACUGCAGUGCUACCUCAGAAGGAAGAAAAAGGUUACCCUGAACAAUAAGUUAUUAAAAACUGAUAUCAGAAACGCUUGGUCAUAUUUAUUAAGCUACACAUACAGUAGUAGUGUGUAAAGCAUGUGUAACGCUGCAACAUGCCAGAGGUCUCAGCAUGUCGAAAGUUGUUGAGGUUCAUAGUGUUCCCCUGUGAUAAUCCAUCCCAUAAAAACUCCAAUAUUCUCUAUAUACAGUUCCUGCAGAUUGUGCGGUAGGGGUAUAGGAGUGUUGAUAGAGCAUCCAAUAGAAACACAUCCCACACAUUUUCUAUAAUCAGGGAUAGAUCUGGAGAUGCAGCAGCUGGACAUGAUUUAGUAUCUGCAGCGGUGGUGUGUGGAUGAGCAUUGUCCUGCUGGAAUAAUAGUGCACCCGUGCAUCCUGUAGGUAGGGCCACGGGUUGCAGGACCUUAUGAAUGUAAUGUUGGCCUGUUAAAUAUGUUUCUUCUGGAACUCAGUGAUUUUUUUUGAUGAUUUCAUGAUGAGUGUAAUUUUGCACAUUUCAUCCCUUUCUUUACCCAGUGUACAGGUGAACUAUGAGCCAUAUGAUUCUAUAUAUUCUGUAUAUAAUGUAUAAUAGUACUGUUGUCCUGAAAUAUGCCAGCUACUUUGAUCUUAUUUUAUGUGGUUUCAGUAUUGGGGUUUUAAAAAAAAUACUGAAUAUAAG